rnacentral:rRNA from 1 species
UACAGAGGGUGCGAGCGUUACUCGGAAUUACUGGGCGUAAAGCGUGCGUAGACGGCUAUCUAAGUCGGGUGUGAAAGCCCCGGGCUCAACCUGGGAAUUGCAUUCGAGACUGACUAGCUAGGGUGCGGUAGAGGGAAGCGGAAUUUCCGGUGUAGCGGUGAAAUGCGUAGGUAUCGGAAGGAACAUCAGUGGCGAAAGCGGCUUCCUGGACCAGCACCGACGUUCAGGCACGAAAGCGUGGGGAGCAAACAGG